CCUCACAUCUGAAAACUGGGGCUACGGAAACCUGCCUUCCUCUGUACCUGCUGCAGGAAUCCCUCUUGUGGAUUCUAAAUGAGAGAGUGAAUGAGAAGGUUCCCUGGAAACUACGGAGCACUGUGGAAAUGCGCAGUCUUGAUGCAGUCCGAGCUAAGGAGCACGAGGCAAAAAGUUUGUGCAGGUAAACAGACAUGAUGCUAAGGUGGUCAUAAAGGCACUUCCCGCACUGUCCUCUGGAACACUCAUGCGGGAUGCAUCAUUUCAACUUGGAGAAAGAGUAAAUGCAAAGAAAUCCUCAUGUAUUUUGAAACACUGUGCUCUUGUGAUGGAGAUACCACAUCAUCAAAGUGCUUCAAUACCUGAUUUUUAAAAAAGCAGAAUUUCAUGGCCAAAAGUAAUGAAAUGGAUACAAGUUCAAAACCAUUCAUUUAGUUCACAAACAUUGUGGAGGUUUUAACAAUCUGUAACACUGGGCCAAAUGUAAGGAAACCAAGGAAGAUGAAGUUUCUUUUUCGGAGAGUUCUCAGUGGAAGAAACUUGACAGUUAUAAAACUGAAUUGGGUGUGCAUGGACUUGAUAUCAGAGAAUCUGAGUCGGAGCCACACAGGAGCGCUGAUGGCCGAAGCGGGUCAGAGGGGGCCGUGUGCAAGAUCAAGCGCUCACACUGAGCCCUGGAGAACUGGUCGGAAUGGGAAAGCUCGUUUUCCUGGAACACCACGCUGCUCAUUCAUUUACAUUUUGUCCAUGGCUGCCAUCCCACUGCGAGGGCAGAAUUAAAUGGUUACAACAGAGCCUGAAAUACUUACUAGCUGGCCCCCCCACAGAAAUGUUUGCCAGUCUCUGUCUUAGGUGAUUCUAAGAAGCUUGGCCCUUUGAGAAGUUGCAAUAGGAACGCAUGAUCUUAAUUUAGACUAAGCUUUUGUUGGUGCCAUAUAACCAUACAGAGAAAUGAUGCUUUUCUUGGGCUGUGCUUCCAUGAAGCAUGAUGUGAGGGGAGGACCAGGAGGCCUCUUAUCUCUGUUUACUUCCUCACUGGCCUGCCGUCCCUUUUUCAAUGCCUGUCAAGUUAAAAUCAUUGAUCUCCCUUCUUGAAACACUGAUGUGGCCAUUGUCAGGCCUCAGCACUGUCACAUUAUCUAUCAGGUGAGUCAUCGGAGAAGACAACCUUGAGGAGGUUGGGCACCAGAUAAGUUUCAGCUGGUCUGGAGAAUAAGAGUUGUGAAGAGGCGUGCAGGGGGGAUGAUCAGCAAGGGGAUCUGUGGUGUGCCAUCACUUCAUGUUAGUUUGUAAGGUGGAUGGUUAGGAGGUGAUUUCUACUAAAGCCCUCGACUAGCAAUUUAGUAUACCUACCUUCAGAUGGGCACUGGUUCUGACCGCCUGGACUGACCAGCUGCUAUAUGGCUUUCUAUAAAAGGUGUGCAUACAGAGGAAGGGCAGUGUAGUUCCUGACUCAAUUUUGCUUUUUAUAUGAAAAUGAACAUGUUAUUAUUAAAGCUUCUAACUGUUUCAAUCCCAGGUAUAACUAAAACUAAUUCACCCUGAAUCUUAAAACCUGGAUUUUUUCACUCUUAAGGCUGUGUGUGUGUAGUCUUUGAAUAAGUUACUCAGAGAAGUUAUGCUGUUGACUUUCUUCUAGUCUAUUUUUUUCAAAUGAGGUAGUUUGUCAGAGUCAUCUGGAAGUUUUUCCUGAGCUACACGUGCUGUGAUACCUCCCUGAUAUCACAUUAUUCCUACCAAGGCAACACAAGGCAGUCACUGAUCACCUGGAGUGAAGCUUGUGUUCUGUGCAAUGAGAACAGCACAUGCAGAGAGCAGGACGGUGGAGAGGAUGCAUAUGGCGGGUGGGUAAGGAAGUAAGUAGAGUCAUUCAGCAUUUGACACCAAAUUAUUUAUUGAGCAUCUACUACAUGCUAGGCUCUGUUGUAGGCAUUAGGGUUAUGGUGGUGAACAAGGUUGAUAAGCUCCUGUUUUUAGAGAGCCUGGGGAGGUCAGUAAUUAAACAGUUAAUAAAAAAUAAGAUAACUUCAGACAAAUAUAACUGCAAGAGGAUGUGCCAGAGUGAUUAGGAGUCAGGAUAAUUUAGUGUGCUACUUCUCUCAGGGCUUUUACAUAGAAAAAGUUGAUUGUUUAUAGGAUUGAAAAUUGCAAUAUUUCCUCUAAUUACGUUAUUUUAGAGGAAGUUUUAUGUUAUAGUGAAGAGUCCUUUAGACCGUUUCUCAGAUCACUAAACAUCAGAUUGUUCUUGCAAUGGGAAUGAAUGCAGGCAUAGACAGUGUCUGAUAAGAGAAAAAGGGGGGGAAUAAAGAUGUUAGGGAAAGAAAGAGGAGGAAGAGUGUGGCAGAAAGAGUAAGAGGUCAGGUGUGUAUUGUGGAGUGGAUUAUCAUAAUCAUGGUUGCAUUUUUUUGAGUGCUUAUCAUCAGUCAGGCACCAUGCUAAGUGAUUUAGAUAUAUUAACUUUAUCUUCACUACAACCCUUUGAGGUAUCACCUCAUUUUGCACAUAUGGAAACUGAGGCAGAGAGAGAUUUUGAUGCCAUGUCCAAGAGCUUAAAUCCGGAGGUGAUGUCUCCACAGUCCAAACUCUUGAGUGUGAGUUUCAUUGCUGCUGUCAGUGACCUUGGGUGGCUCAGGGGCUUGCUUGACCUAUGGUGCACAGGGAGCUGGGAGACUCAUCUUUGCAGUUCUGUGGCCCUCUCAAACUUGUGAUUUCACAAAAACAAUUUUAGCCUUUCUAGUGUCAUAGUUUGGGCUCAAUUGUCUUUUGCCUCCUAGAGAUGUCACCCAGACAUACUUGGAGGAUUUGGGAGAGUGGGUAAAAUUGCAAUAUUUCCAGAAUCUCUAGCUUGGCCUUAGUGCAUCUCCACAUCAAUAGGUGUUUCCAAAGGGUGGAGAGAAGUAGUCCAUCUCCAUAUGAAUAUGUAAUUACAAGGGCCAGUGAGGGCUUAUCUGGACCAGAGAGGUUGGUGGGGUCUCUUCUGCAGCUGGGUCACAAGUGACCCGGGAGAGCAGAAGUGGAAGACUGUUUGUAAGAAAUAAUGGGUUUCUCCCACUUAAUUUCUCCCUUUGACUGAUUUUGGUUUCAAAGGUAUUUUGCCCUGGGUCUUUCCCUCCGGAGUUACAGGGAGAAAGUCAAAACCCAACAUAGGGUGCAUCAGAGUCUGUUCUGUGGGCCCUUGUGGGACACAUGUGGCCUGAUUUAUCUCUCAGUCCAUACUUGGACCACUGGGAUGGCCUGUGAAAACCCUGGUGCUGUAGAGUCAGGGAAUUGAAGCCCAGAAAGAAACAUGAGGAAUUCCAUCUGUGACAUCAUGAGGACGAGAAUCUGGAGACAAAUUCCAGUGGCCUUUAGGAAAGGUGACUUUCUUGGGUCACUCAUUCCCAGUGGAUGUGGGUCGUCAGCACAUUCUUUUCCUCUAAGUUUAAUACUUACUGUGACUGCAUUAAAGAUGAAAAGUACCUGU